AGUGUAGGCGGGAUCGUAAGUUAGGAGUUUAAUGCAUGGGCUUAACCCAUGACCUGCUUUUAAUACUGCGGUUCUUGAGUAUGGGAGAGGGCGAUGGAAUUCCAGGUGUAGCGGUGGAAUGCGUAGAUAUCUGGAGGAACACCAGUAGCGAAGGCGGUCGCCUGGCCCAAUACUGACGCUGAUGCUCGAAAGCUAGGGGAGCAAACAGGAUUAGAUACCCUGGUAGUCCUAGCCGUAAACGAUGGACACUAGUUGCUGGAGGAGUCAAUCCUUUCAGUGACGAAGCUAACGCAUUAAGUGUCCCGCCUGGGGAGUACGCUCGCAAGGGUGAA
rnacentral:rRNA from 1 species